ACAACGGGUGGAGCUUGCGGUUUAAUUGGAUUCAACGCCGGAAAUCUUACCGGGACCGACAGCAAUAUGAAGGCCAGGCUGAAGACUUUGCCGGAUUAGCUGAGAGGUGGUGCAUGGCCGUCGUCAGUUCGUACUGUGAAGCAUCCUGUUAAGUCAGGCAACGAGCGAGACCCACGCCAACAGUUGCCAGCAUGUCCUCCGGGAUGAUGGGGACACUGUUGGGACCGCCUCUGCUAAAGAGGAGGAAGGAAUGGGCAACGGUAGGUCAGCAUGCCCCGAAUUAUCCGGGCUACACGCGGGCUACAAUGGUCAGGGACAAUGGGUAUCGACACCGAGAGGUGGAGGCAAUCUCCUAAACCUGUCCUUAGUUCGGAUUGUGGGCUGCAACUCGCCCACAUGAAGCUGGAAUCCGUAGUAAUCGCGUUUCAAAAUAGCGCGGUGAAUAUGUCCCUGCUCCUU
rnacentral:rRNA from 1 species